UACAGAGGGUGCGAGCGUUGUCCGGAAUCACUGGACGUAAAGGGCGCGUAGGCGGCCUGAUAAGUAGGGGGUGAAAUCUUGCGGCUCAACCGCAAGGCUGCCUUCUAAACUGUCAGGCUGGAGCACGGUAGAGGCAGAUGGAAUUCCCGGUGUAGCGGUGGAAUGCGUAGAGAUCGGGAAGAACACCAGUGGCGAAGGCGGUCUGCUGGGCCGUUGCUGACGCUGAUGCGCGAAAGCGUGGGUAGCAAACAGG
rnacentral:rRNA from 1 species